GGGAGAUAGCGAGAAAGAAAGGACGGGAGGAGAAGGGAGAGAGGGAGGGAUGGAGUGAGGCUGCAAAUGGCAGCUUCUGUGACACCAUCGGAGGGAGGGAGGGAGGGGGAGAGAGAGGGAGAGCGAGAGAGCGAGAGAGAGUAAGCAAGAAAUAGUCAGAGGGAGAGUGCGAGUGAGAAAGAGAGAGAGAGAGAACACAGAUCAGAUUGCAAAAGAUUGAUAGAGAGAGCUGUUCUGUUAAUAAGCAGUGAGGGAGUAUUGUACAGUUUUAUAGGAAAAGUGAAGGACAGACUUCAUGGCACAAAAGGUGAGGAACGAGCAACAGGCCACAUGAAGAAAUUGCCUAAGAAGAUGGAGAUACAACAACCUGAAUUUUUAAAAGGAUAGUCCUCGUUAAACGCCUCACACCUGUUUUGCACUGGCGGAGCGGCAGCAGCACUUGGUUCUGGUGUGGUUUAGUCCGGUCUGAAUUGCAUUUCAUCUGCACUUGCAACAGUUGCUGAAAAAAGAAAGAGAAAAAACAUCAGGCAAGGAUGAAGAAAUCCAAAGGAGGACGAUGCCCUGUGCCCAAGAUGAUGGAGCGGUUUUCUACAGGUUUGCAGUAACACAGAGAGGAAACAGCCGUGGCGGUAGAUGCAGAGAAUGCCUCAGUUUGGCUAACGGCGAUACUGUGAGAACAGAUUCCACCCUUUACUUCUGCUACUUGGGGGAGGACAGGUGGAAAUCAAAGCAUCUGGAAUGUGCAUGUAAUCAGGGGCACACGUGCAAGUUCCCCAGGGAGUUUAAACGCACACACACAUGACCCUCUCUACUCCCCGAACAAAGGGAUUGGAUUAAAGUGCACGGCUUCCACCCAGAUCCCUGUCUAUGACUCACUAAAAUGCAGCUUAGCCCGUGAUCAAGCUGUGAAGCUCCACAAUCACACACUGGGGCUCCAGGUCCACCCUUCUGCUCUGACCCUGCAGCUGGAGGUGCCAGGAGCAUGAGCGUGGGAAGGAUCAACCGCUACAGCAUUGUGUCGUCUGAGGAAGAGGGCCUGAGGCUCACUACCAUGCAUGGCAUGAACGGCUUUGGCAACGGUAAAAUUCACACACGUCGCAAGUGCCGCAACCGCUUCGUCAAAAAGAAUGGGCAGUGCAACGUGCAGUUCGCCAACAUGGACGACAAGUCACAGCGCUACAUGGCCGACAUCUUCACCACAUGCGUCGAUAUCCGUUGGCGAUGGAUGUUGGUAGUCUUCACUCUUGUGUUCGUUGUGUCCUGGCUGGCAUUCGGCCUGGCCUUCUGGGUUAUUGCUUUGCUUCAUGGAGAUCUAGAGAACCCAGCCGGAGACGACAACUUCACUCCAUGUGUCCUCCAGGUUAACGGAUUUGUGGCCGCCUUCCUCUUCUCCAUUGAAACACAGUCUACCAUAGGCUACGGCUUCCGCUGUGUGACUGAAGAGUGCCCGGUGGCUGUUUUCAUGGUGGUAUUUCAGUCCAUAGUGGGCUGCAUUAUUGACUGCUUCAUGAUCGGUGCAAUCAUGGCCAAGAUGGCGAGGCCUAAGAAACGGGCACAAACGCUGCUGUUCAGCCACAACGCUGUCAUCGCUAUGCGGGACGGAAAACUGUGCCUCAUGUGGAGGGUGGGGAAUCUUCGCAAGAGCCACAUUGUAGAAGCACAUGUCAGAGCACAGCUAAUCAAACCACGGAUCACUGAUGAGGGGGAAUAUAUUCCUCUAGACCAGAUAGACAUAAACGUGGGUUUUGAUAAAGGCUUGGAUAGGAUCUUCUUGGUUUCACCCAUUACUAUUCUCCAUGAGAUAGAUGAAGAGAGCCCACUGUUUGGCAUCAGCAAACAGGACUUGGAGACAGCAGACUUUGAGAUUGUUGUCAUCUUGGAGGGGAUGGUUGAAGCGACUGCAAUGACCACGCAGGCCCGCAGCUCUUACUUGGCCUCCGAGAUCCUCUGGGGUCACCGGUUCGAGCCGGUGCUGUUCGAGGAGAAGAACUUGUACAAGGUAGAUUACUCUCACUUUCACAAAACCUAUGAGGUGCCGUCCACCCCUCGCUGCAGUGCCAAGGACAUGGUGGAAAACAAGUUCCUAGUCCCCAGUUCUAACUCCUUCUGCUAUGAAAAUGAACUGGCCUUCUUAAAUCGUGACGAUGAGGAGGAGGAAGUAAGCGGGGGGAGCAGGGCACUGGCCAACCUCAGUCCAGACCGGAACAGUCGACAUGAGUUUGAACGAUUACAGGCCACCAGGCCACUGGAUCAAAGGUCAUAUCGUAGAGAGUCAGAAAUAUGACCUCUACUGAUUGAACUAGUGUCAAUUUUCUUUAGGGACAAAAAUGCAGAACUCAAAGUGCCAUAGGAAAAGCUGACAAAAAGCAAAGACUGGACUGGAAAACAGGACAAGAGUAAAAAGGACUAAACAAGUGGGAAUAUGGAAAAGCACGAGUACACAGCUUUGACAACUGUGCUAAGGAAUGUCUACAAUCAAGGAAAAGGCUAAUGAGAGACCUUCUUCCUUCAUGGAAACUUGAAUCGUUUUUCUCAUGGUCAUUUUGAGUUUAGAGUGUUCAACAAUAGUGCAUCGAAAAGUUAGACCAUAAAAUCUAAUUUUAGGUGUAAAUACAUUGCUUAGAUUAGUUACGUUUUGUGUGCAGUAUAAGUUUCCAAAACAGUCACUAUUUCGAUUCACUCCCGGGCACAAACACCAGUGUUACAAGGCUUCUCCCAAAUUUAAGCUUUUCCGAACUCGUCGCGGUCGUUUGCUGGACCUGCGUUCAGUGACACAUUAAAAAAUCGUGCAGUGCAGCAUUCAAACGCAAUGAGCCAUGAUAAAAAAUCUGAUCAUGGGCAACAGAGAACAACACAAUUCAAGACUGUCUUUUUAUUAAUUGCACUAUGAAGAAUAUAAUAAAUUGUGCUGAACAUAAAUUAAACUGUAUAGGGAACCACUCUGUUUAUAAUCACCUACUCAAUUAAACCAAACAGGUAACGUAGCUAAGGAAUUAAUAAGAGCAGCACAAAGAAGUGCACCAUGAAGUGUUCCUUUACUUUACCAACGACAAAACAUCUAAAUUAAAACAUUUGUCGGCAAUCAUUAACAGGUUUUGUUCAGUUUUAUAAGGAAAUUAACAAAUAUGUUUAAUAUGUUUUAGUUCUCUUACUAAACUAAUCUAUGCACAAUGUUAACUAUAUCAGGGGACAGAAAUCCAACUAUGUUCUUGGGGAAACAGCAUUAAAAACAUAAAGAAUAACGUUUGAGUUGAAUCAAAGUAAUUUUAAAUAUUAAGCUGGAUGACGAUACAAUAAGGAAAUAUUUCUUGAUUUAUGUCUUUUUAGGUCUGGACUUAAAAUGUGAAUUUUGGCUGUAAACCGUUAAAUCAUGAGAGCGUGUGUUAGGAUAAAAAGGUUAGAAACGUCCAAAUGUAUGACCCAACCCUACAUCUAUUACAGUGUAUGGCAUCAAGCGGUGGGUAAAUUAAAUGGCCCUCUUGUUACUAACUGAGUUCAUGUCUGUUUCAUAGACUUGUGAUUCAGCAAAACAUUUAACAAGUAAAAUCAAUGAGUGCAAAUCUGAUUUUGCCACUAAACCAAAAAGACAGAGAUGGAGCAUAAAUGAGCAACAGUAACACAUACCACAUACUGUAGAGAACUAAAUGAACUUCAGCAAUAUAAUAAUACAAAGAGAGACGACACUAGACCACGGUGAUGGAAUGGUAGCAAUAAUCACUAAAGCACACCUUCGGACAAACUUUAUGUUGUAAUGCACAGAACCUACAUAGGUUCAGUGUAUUACAACACUGAACCUACAUAGGUUCAGUGUAUUAGGAGUGUAGGAGGCAGGAAAGGCAUGAUGUGCAAAGAAUGAUCCUGUGUUGUAGUUGUAUGCAUGUGGUUUCUUUGUUAAACUCUGAUUUGAUACCAAAGCAAUAGGGUGCUCUCAGUACUUGUUCCUAAGGUAAUAUUUGACAAAGGUGUUUGAAUCUCCAAUUAUCAAAAGGGUCUCUUUAAAAGGAUUGGAAGUCCUCAAAAUGUCUCUCCUAAUUUUGAUUCCUAGCUGUAUAAAGUAAUUAUUUAAACCUCAACAUGUUUACAUUGUCUUACAAAAUACUAUAACUCACAAUUUAUCUAUUACCUCACUGAAGCGUGGAUGUCAUGUCCCUGUGAAACAACAUUAAUUAGCUUUCACACAUAAACUAUUAAAUGUGUUAAGAAGGCAACGUAUAGAAGAUGAGUGAACAGCUGACAUGAAAACAAAGCAGAGAACCAUAAAAUGGUCAUUACGUUGGUCACAAUGACUAAUAUUCAUUUAUCUUUAGCAGUAUGUUUGAAUCUAUGAUGUGUCUUAGUUAUAUGUUGCUUUUUUUAGAAACUGUAGGAUAUUGUAACCUAUAGAGAGCCCUUUUGGCUAAUAAUUAAGGAAAUCUUUACCCCAUCCAACAUUUAUUAUGCUCAUUGCCUUCUGGGAAGGCUGUAUACGCUGAUGUGUGAAGCGUCUGCACCUACACACGAAAUGUCAGUGGUAAAAAAAGAUGAAGCAGCAACAGCUUCUAUGUUGCAUCACUGAAAUACUGAAUAUAUUUUCUGAGAUUGUUUUAGCUUUGAUGUUGCCCACCUAAGUCCUUAAAAAAGAAACGGAAAGGUUUAUGUAAAAAGCAGUUACAUUAUAAAAAUUAUAAUAGGCUGCAGUCAGGCUAAACAAACCUGCUUAUUUUUAUACAAAGUUCUUUUUGAUAGAAUACAGCAACCCAUAUUUAUCUGUACUACAAUGAAAUCACUACUACGAGGCAACAAAGUAAUGUAUGUCUCAGUUUUCAAGUAUUUAGGUUGUGUUUUGUUUUAGCAAAUAUGCUCAACAAUACUAAGGUAUUUCUCUUCAAAGGAUGAUGGAAAACCUUUGACCUCUGUAGAUGUCUUCCUUGGUCCAGCAAAAUGUCUACUGGGCCACUGAUUUGAAUUCAAGGUUAUUUAAAAUAUUUAAUUAAAAAUUAACUGUGAAAAACAAA